rnacentral:sRNA from 1 species
AAUAUUGAGAACUAAACCGUAGACAGCAGGUGUCGAAAGACUUAAUUUCCUGCCGAGGUACAAUACAUAGAUAUUGACCCCGUCUACAAAAUGAUGGGGUUUUUUGUUG